CUUCAUUGAUCUAAGUUUUUUGAGAGGUAUGCAUGGCCAUUUGAACGAUUGAGUAGAUUUGACCAGAGGGAGAUCUGUUGUUGAAGUGAGGAGGUAGCAUCCCUAGGGUUUAAAGAGUUCGGUUGAAGAGAGUGUCGACGCCCUACUUAAACGAGGUUGAGAUGCUUGAGAUGCCGAUCAGGGUCCUGCUCUUUCGUUUUCUUCCUUCCAAGUGGGUGAUUGAUCUACACUUGAAUGGUUUACUAGGCUUUAUGGCCUUUAUUCUUUGC
rnacentral:misc_RNA from 1 species